UACGUAGGGUGCAAGCGUUACUCGGAAUUACUGGGCGUAAAGCGUGCGUAGGUGGUGAUUUAAGUCUGAUGUGAAAUCCCCGGGCUCAACCUGGGAAUGGCAUUGGAUACUGGCUCGCUAGAGUGCGGUAGAGGGUGGUGGAAUUCCCGGUGUAGCAGUGAAAUGCGUAGAGAUCGGGAGGAACAUCUGUGGCGAAGGCGGCCACCUGGACCAACACUGACACUGAGGCACGAAAGCGUGGGGAGCAAACAGG
rnacentral:rRNA from 1 species